rnacentral:sRNA from 2 species
GAAUUUCGUCAAAGCCGACCUCCUCCCCGGCGAUGACGAAUAUGGUCGACCUCCUCCUCCUCCCUGAGGUCGACCGCCGAAACGGUGCCCGCCGCAUCCUCCUCCCAGCGGCGGGCAUUGUUC